AUGGCUCCGAUUCUGAGUGAGGAGGCCAGCAGGAAGUAUAUCACUCUGCUUUUUGUGAAUGCAAUGAGCCAAUAUUCCAUUUUCCUGGCCGCCGAUCCUUCAGAUUCGGCGCUUCGACGGAAGAACAGGGGUACUACAUUUCCUUUUUCAUCUACUGUAGUUUUUCAGUGGCUCUUCUUUCAGUUAAAACUGAAUGCUAUACAUGUACAAUAUGCAUUUGACAACAGCAAUUUUUUCACUGAAGUGAAUACUCAUCAAGUAAACUGUCCAUGGGAAUUAAGUUUUGCCUUGUUUGCCGUGAUCCUUCUUUACAUUGUCAAAAAUAACAAAUGGCAAAUUGUGAUGUGCCCCAUGGAAUUUUUAUGUUUUGAAUGUUUCCGUGUUGAAUUUAAGAUGUGUUUGCUGCCAUGGAAAUUGGUUUUUAUUCAUAAUGGCAAAUUUCAAACUUUUGAAUUGCAUAAUGUGUGA
rnacentral:rRNA from 1 species